rnacentral:rRNA from 1 species
UACGAAGGACCCGAGCGUUAUCCGGAUUUAUUGGGUUUAAAGGGUGCGUAGGCGGAUUAUUAAGUCAGUGGUGAAAGCCCUCAGCUUAACUGAGGAACUGCCAUUGAUACUGAUGAUCUUGAGUAUGAUUGAGGUGGGCGGAAUGUGUCAUGUAGCGGUGAAAUGCUUAGAUAUGACACAGAACACCGAUUGCGAAGGCAGCUCACUAAGCCAUAACUGACGCUGAUGCACGAAAGCGUGGGGAGCAAACAGG